rnacentral:rRNA from 1 species
GACGAACGCUGGCGGCGUGCUUAACACAUGCAAGUCGAGCGGUAAGGCCCUUUCGGGGGUACACGAGCGGCGAACGGGUGAGUAACACGUGGGUGACCUGCCCUCAGCUCUGGGAUAAGCUCGGGAAACUGGGUCUAAUACCGGAUAUGACUCCAUGACGCAUGUUGUGGGGUGGAAAGCCUUGUGCGGUUGAGGAUGGGCCCGCGGCCUAUCAGCUUGUUGGUGGGGUGAUGGCCUACCAAGGCGACGACGGGUAGCCGGCCUGAGAGGGCGACCGGCCACACUGGGACUGAGACACGGCCCAGACUCCUACGGGAGGCAGCAGUGGGGAAUCUUGCGCAAUGGGCGAAAGCCUGACGCAGCGACGCCGCGUGAGGGAUGACGGCCU